rnacentral:rRNA from 1 species
UGACGGAGCACGCCGCGUGAGGGAUGAAGGCCUCUGGGCUGUAAACCUCUUUUAUCAUGGAAGAAAAUCUGACGGUACUUGAUGAAUAAACCACGGCUAAUUCCGUGCCAGCAGCCGCGGUAAUACGGGAGUGGCAAGCGUUAUCCGGAAUUAUUGGGCGUAAAGCGUCCGCAGGCGGCCCUUCAAGUCUGCUGUUAAAAAGUGGAGCUUAACUCCAUCAUGGCAGUGGAAACUGUUGGGCUUGAGUGUGGUAGGGGCAUAGGGAAUUCCCGGUGUAGCGGUGAAAUGCGUAGAUAUCGGGAAGAACACCAGUGGCAAAGGCGCUCUGCUGGGCCAUCACUGACGCUCAUGGACGAAAGCCAGGGGAGCGAAAGGGAUUAGAUACCCCUGUAGUCCUGGCCGUAAACGAUGAACACUACGUGUCGGGGGAAUCGACCCCCUCGGUGUCGUAGCCAACGCGUUAAGUGUUCCGCCUGGGGAGUACGCACGCAAGUGUGAAACUCAAAGGAAUUGACGG